UAAGGAAUAUUGGUCAAUGCCCGGAAGGGUGAACCAGCCAUCCCGCGUGAAGGAUGAAGGGGCUCUGCCUUGUAAACUUCUUUUGAAUGGGACGAAAAAGCCUCACUUGUGAGGAACUGACGGUACCAUUAGAAUAAGCACCGGCUAACUCCGUGCCAGCAGCCGCGGUAAUACGGAGGGUGCGAGCGUUAUCCGGAAUCACUGGGUUUAAAGGGUGCGUAGGCGGCUGUAUAAGUCAGUGGUGAAAGGCUGUGGCUUAACCAUGGGAUUGCCAUUGAUACUGUACGGCUUGAAUUAGGAUGAGGUUGGCGGAAUGUGACAUGUAGCGGUGAAAUGCUUAGAUAUGUCAUGGAACAUCGAUUGCGAAGGCAGCUGACUGGACCUUAAUUGACGCUGAGGCACGAAAGCGUGGGGAGCGAACAGGAUUAGAUACCCCGGUAGUCCCUGAGCGGGCUGGCAAGGCGCAU
rnacentral:rRNA from 1 species